UGGGGAAUCUUGCACAAUGGGGGAAACCCUGAUGCAGCGACGCCGCGUGAGCGAUGAAGCCCUUCGGGGUGUAAAGCUCUUUCGGCAGGGACGAUAAUGACGGUACCUGCAGAAGCAGCUGCGGCUAACUACGUGCCAGCAGCCGCGGUAAUACGUAGGCAGCGAGCGUUGUUCGGAGUUACUGGGCGUAAAGGGUGUGUAGGCGGUUGCUUAAGUUUGGGGUGAAAUCUCCCGGCUUAACUGGGAGGGUGCGCCGAAUACUGAGUGACUAGAGUACGGGAGAGGAAAGUGGAAUUCCUGGUGUAGCGGUGAAAUGCGUAGAUAUCAGGAGGAACACCGGUGGUGUAGACGGCUUUCUGGACCGUAACUGACGCUGAGACACGAAAGCGUGGGUAGCAAACA
rnacentral:rRNA from 1 species